rnacentral:rRNA from 1 species
CCUACGGGUGGCUGCAGUGAGGAAUAUUGGUCAAUGGUCGGGAGACUGAACCAGCCAAGUCGCGUGAGGGAUGACGGUACUGCGUAUCGUAAACCUCUUUUGUCAGGGAACAAAGUCAGGCACGUGUCCCCGGAUGAGUGUACCUGAAGAAUAAGCAUCGGCUAACUCCGUGCCAGCAGCCGCGGUAAUACGGAGGAUGCGAGCGUUAUCCGGAUUUAUUGGGUUUAAAGGGUGCGCAGGGGGUCUGUUAAGUCAGCGGUAAAAGUCCGGGGCUCAACCGAGCAUUGCCGUUGAUAAUGGGUGCCUUGAGUGCGGGUAGGGUAGGCGGAAUGCGUGGUGUAGCGGUGAAAUGCAUAGAUAUCACGCAGAACUCCGAUUGCGAAGGCAGCCUAC